AGGGACUUAGGCUACACAGACCGAGAGCCUUCAAAGCUCUAAGCAAAUACAAACUAUUUAGUCCCUG